rnacentral:rRNA from 1 species
AUUGAACGCUGGCGGCAGGCCUAACACAUGCAAGUCGAACGAGUGGCGGACGGGUUACUAAUGUCUGGGAAACUGACCGAUGGAGGGGGCUCACUACUGGACACGGUAGCUAAUACCGCAUUCCAUCGCCUGUGCCCAGAUGGGAUUAGCUAGUAGUUGGGGUAACGGCUCACCAAGGCCACGAUCCGUAGCUGGUCUGAGAGGAUGACCAGCCACACUGGAACUGAGACACGGUCCAGACUCCUACGGGAGGCAGCAGUGGGGAAUAUUGCACAAUGGGCGAAAGCCUGAUGCAGCCAUGCCGCGUGUAUGAAGAAGGCCUUCGGGUUGUAAAGGACUUUCAGCGAGGAGGCGUUACUCGCAGAAGAAGCACCGGCUAACUCCGUGCCAGCAGCCGCGGUAAUUC